GAAUUUUGGACAAUGGGCGAAAGCCUGAUCCAGCAAUGCCGCGUGCAGGAUGAAGGCCUUCGGGUUGUAAACUGCUUUUGUACGGAACGAAAAGCUGUGGGUUAAUCCACUGGUGUCAUGAUGGUACCGUAAGAAUAAGCACCGUCGAACUCCUCGCCCGCAGCCGCGGUAAUACGUAGGGUGCCAGCGUUAAUCGGAAUUACUGGGCGUAAAGCGUGCGCAGGCGGUUUUGUAAGACAGAGGUGAAAUCCCCUGGCUCAACCUGGGAACUGCCUUUGUGACUGCAAGGCGAGAGUACGGCAGAGGGGGGUGGAAUUCCGCGUGUAGCAGUGAAAUGCGUAGAUAUGCGGAGGAACACCGAUGGCGAAGGCAACCCCCUGGGCCUGUACUGACGCUCAUGCACGAGAGCGUGGGGAGCAAA
rnacentral:rRNA from 1 species